rnacentral:rRNA from 1 species
CACGUAGGGCGCAAGCGUUGUCCGGAAUUACUGGGCGUAAAGGGCGCGUAGGCGGCGGGGUAAGUCGGGUGUGAAAUCUCAGAGCUCAACUCUGAAAUGGCACUUGAUACUGCUCUGCUAGAGGACUGGAGAGGAGAUUGGAAUUCACGGUGUAGCAGUGAAAUGCGUAGAUAUCGUGAGGAAGACCGGUGGCGAAGGCGGAUCUCUGGACAGUUCCUGACGCUGAGGCGCGAAGGCCAGGGGAGCAAACGGG